ensembl:lncRNA
CAACUGUUAAGUCCCAGCCUGAACCACUGAUUCAGCACCUGGGGAAAGGACCCGGUCAGCCCUGGGAGCACAGGUGAAGGCAAUUCGGCUGUGUGACCAGAAGGGGUGGAGCCUGGCUGCACCUCUCUUAGACCUCAUUUAAGUGCUGACUGCCCCUGGGGAAGGGUCUCUUUCUGGAGAUCCCUCCUUGGUGGAUUUUUCCCCUCUGAACCUGGAAUCUUCUGGUAUGGAUGCUCAUCUUGCAAUGGGAUCCAAUGCCUUCUAAGGGAUUGAGCCACCCCACUGCCUUCAAUGCAGGUAGGGUGUCACAGAAAGAGCUCAGCACAAAUGUGACAGGGGCUUGAAUGUCCCUGAUGCUGUGAUGGGGGGUGGGACCCCAGUCAGCCCUGUCCUGGCAGUGUGACCCCUGGAGGAGGUAGAGAGGUUGUGGUGCAGCAUGGGAGAGCAAUGUGCACCUGCUGGAGGAGGAGAAGAAAAUGGGGAGCCCCAAACUGCUGGAGUGUUAAUGAACUCUGGUGCUUCUGGUGUCUCCUGUGUUUGUUUUUCCUUGCUGAGCCCAACCGUAAAUAUAAAGCAAAUAUAAAUGCUUAUGUACCAGUAAUGUCUUGUUUUCCCUCUCUCUUCCCAAAGUCACCCUGCUGUACUGUGAACCCCCAACAUAUUGUUAAUUAGGAAUGAAUCAGUGUGCCUCUGAUUAAAAUCCUUCCUACUUCAUGGCUUUUAACUAACUACAGUGUCUCUGGGUUUGUGCCAGCUUUGGUUUUAAACCUUUGAAGAAUCUCUAAUCCGCACAGCACAGACCAGCCAAUUAUUUUUUGUUAUAAACAGUAAAUAUCUAUCGAACAUAGAUAUUUUUGUUGCAGAUAAGGAUGCUCCUUGAGGAGCUCAGUAUCCUUCUCCAUAAUUUGCUGGGGUAGAAAAUACCUGAGAUGUACUUUAAUCAACUUUGUACUGUGUGGG